rnacentral:rRNA from 1 species
AUGCUUCUCCUAAAGACUAAGCCAUGCAUGUCUUCGAAUAAGAGGAAGCAAUUCUCUCUGAAUCUGCGAACGGCUCCGCAAACCAGUUGUAAACUAUAGCAAGCAAGCCUGGGGUCUCCUCACAGGGGCCCUGGGCAACACGGAUAACCCUGGUAAUUCUGUGGCUAAUACGAGAAAGCACUCCCUGGCUGACUGGUAACGGAAGGCUGGGAGGCGUGUGACGCUUCGCGAGGAAUAACCGGGAAUGGAUG